CUGCUUUCCCUGAGAAUCUUCAGAAAGCCUUGGGGCACAUAGAGAUUUACCUGUGCAGACACUUGUGUUCAUAACCAAGGGCUACCAGCAUAAUGGAGGUGCCAUUUUUGAUGUACAACUUUAUACCAUCCCCAGUCAGCCACUCCCCACCACAAAAUCAGCAUAUAGAGGAUUUCAGAAGCAACAGUUCUGUCAUCACCUUAUAAAGCCAUUCAGAGGAAAUGGUUGCUGACCAGAUGAUGAGAAUUACCCCAAGUGGCAAUGCCAGACUUGUUCUACAUAAACAGCUUGUCUGUUUUGCCAUGUUGAGGAAUUGAAUGUGUUCUUAGAAAUGUCAGGUCUGCCAUGCAGUUUGGAAGAGAUUCAAGAGGUACUCUAGUCCGGACCCUUCUCUGAAUGACACUGGGAUUUCUUCCUUCUGUACAAUGGAGAAGUGCAGUGGUCCAAAAAACUGUCUGGGGACAGAGAUCAGUCGUCACACAACCUCAGAGGAAUUGUGGCUCAGACCUGCAUCACUCACUACAGCCUGUCCGACAGCAUCCUGCCUCCAGCCACAGCUUCCCCACCUACCAUGCAAGGACCCUUCUGGGAAGGCAGCCCAUGGACGUGCAGUAAAAGUUGGCUGGAUACCUUUCUUUCUAGAUGAACUAUGGCUGUUAUGUCUCUGUGUUGGAGUAAGAGGGACUGCUCAAGACCAAAAUUUCAAAACCGUUAGUUAA
rnacentral:lncRNA from 1 species